AAAAUUUAAAAAUUCUUUUUAAAAAGGAAGAAAAAAAUUCAGCAUAACCAAUCAACAUACUGAAAAAGCUUCUCUCUUUAUAUAUAGUGUUCCAUACCUGUGAAUCCUGCUUUCUGUAAAGGAGUCCUUCUCCUAUCUCUUCUUUGGGGUCAAAUGUUCUUUAUUGUUUCGAAAAAUUCAGUUUUGAUUGUUUUUUGAUUAUGCUUUCCACCUAUGUUAUUUUACUUACUAUAUAUGUUGUCUUCCUGCCUUUGCUAAUUUUACAUCAGUUCAUGGAAGUCUCUUUAUGUUUCUCUGUAUUCUUUAUGUUUAUUGGUUCUUACUACAUAAUUAUAUUCCAUUACAUUUAUGUGCCACAAUUGACUUGACCAUUUGUCUGCUUAUGGACACCUAAUAUCUUUCCCUUUGCUUGCCACAUAUGUUUUGGUGUAUAUGGAAGUUUUCUUUUGGUCAAUACCCUCCAUUGUCAAUGACCCAGUGGAAUUUCUGGGAUAAAAGGCAUAGAUAUUCUUGUCACUUUAUUUGCAUAAUUCUAAAUUUCUGUACAGAAUGGUUUUAAACCAAUGUCUGAUUGCCAAUUCUGACAAUCUUUUCUCAGUCUUCAAUUUUUCUUUUCUGCUUUUCUGACUUUUCUGCUGCAUUUGACAAUAUUGAUCACCUUUUCCUCUUGGAUACUAGAGACAGUAAUAUCUAGGGGUAGAAGUGUCUCCACCAAUUGGAUACUCUCUCUUCUCUAGUUUUUCAUGACAUUGCUCUUUCUUGGCUAUCCUCCUAUUUUUCUGACUAUUGUUUCCUGAUCUCCUCUACUGGAUUUAUCAUAUAUAACAUACCUGCUAACAAUGGGUAUUCUUUAGGACUCUGCCUGCAUCAUCUUCUCUUCUUUCCCUUUACUCUUUUUGAUGACCAUAGUAACUCCCAGGGGUUUGCUUAUCAUCUUUGUAUAGAAGAUUCCCAGACCUGUAUAUCCAGUUCCAAUCUCUUCCUUAAUCUUUAGUCCUUCAUUACCAACUUACUUUGUACAUUUCCAAAUACUUAUCCUGAAGACAGCUCAAACUCAGAACAGCACAUAUCUUUUCACUCAAAUCUUCUAUAUUUCUCUAUUGGGGAAGAAGGCACUACAUUCUUCUUGUCUCUUAGGUUCUCUAACUUACAUGCUGUCAACAACUCUUUUGUCUCUCUCAUCCCACAUUUCCAUUUGUUGAUGUUUAAGCCUUUCAGGUAUGUCUGACUCUUUAUGACCCCAUUUGGGGUUUUCUUGGCAAGGAUUGAAGUGGUUUGCCUUUUUUCCUCUCCAAUUCAUUUGAUGGAUAAUGAAACUGAAGCAAACAGGUUAAGUGACUUGUCCAGGGUUACACAGCUAAUAAGUGUCUAAGGCUAGAUUUCUUCCUGACUCCGGACCCAGCACUCUCACAUGUAUCAUCUAGUUGCCUUCCACAUAUCCAAUAAAUUGCCAGAUCUUGCCACUUGUCCCUCUGCAAUAUCUCUAUUAUCUGAUCCCUUUUCUUUACUCAUGUAACCAUCUCCUUAGUGGACACCUACAUCAUCUCUCAGUUAGAUUAUUAUAGUGACCUCCUACAUGGCCUCCCUGCCUCAAGUCUCUUUCCACCCCAAUAUGUCUUUCAUGCCACUGCCAAGAUGAUUUCCCCUUAAACACAGAUCUAAGUGCGCCACUCCUCACUUGACAAAGUCUUAUGGAUUCUUUUUGUCUCUGGAAUAAAAUAUAAACCCUCUGGCUUAAAAAUACAUCACAACUGGGCCCUCCCAAGCCUUUCUUUCUGGCCUCAUUUCAUACUUCCUUUCUUGACCUUUAUGGUUUAGUCAACCUAGUCUUCUCUAUAUUCCUCACACCUGGCAUCAAUCAAAGGAACUGGGAUUGUUAGCCUGGAGAAGAAAGUGGCAGGGAUGUGAUAGCUAUCUUCAAGCAUUUGAUUAUCUUUGCCUGAUAUCUUGCAAAUCUAAUCAAAAGAACUUUAAACUAAAAAGGUUGAGGACGGGAGAAAGUUGUCUUAGGAAAAGGAAUCAGACUUGCUCUGUUUGUUCAGAGGGAAGACUCAAGAGCAAUAGAUGGAGUGGUAAAGAGUCUCAUUUAGUCCCUAUGUCAGGAAAAUCCUUUUUAACAAUCAACUGUUCCAAAGUGCAAAUGGUUGCCUCAGGACAUUGUGUAUUCCUGCUAAGCAGAGACUAAAUAGCUACUUGUUGGGUAUAUGAUAAUGGAAAUUCCUUUUCAUGUAUGUGUUGGACAAGAUUGUGUCUGUGGUCCCUUUCAACUCUAAAGACUGUGAUUCUGUUAUACUAUACUACUAUGGUUUCUUAUAUUUUGUCUCCUGUGAUUUCCUGGAAAUGUUCAUAUUAAUUUCCAUAUUGUAUCUUUCCCUUAUAAGAUGGUGGAGUUUGGUGGAUAUACUCAGGAAACUUUCUCCCUUCCUCAUCCUUUUUAGUUUAAAGCUCCUUUGAUUAGAUUUGCAAGAUGUCAGGCAAAUGUAAUCUUUAAAAAAUUUUUUUAUUUAAUGGAUUAAUUAAGAAAAAUUUUCCAUGGUCUCACCCCCUCCCAUAGCUAACACACAAUUCCACUGGAUUUUACAUGUGUCAUUGAUAAAGAACUAUUUCCAUAUUAUUGAUAUCCAGGCAAAUAUAAUCUUAAGAAAUUAUUUUUACUCAAAAAAUUUUAAAACCGUACCUUCUUUCUUAGAAUAAAUACUAAAUAUUGAUCCCAGGGCAGAAGAGAAGUAAGGACUAGGCAAUUAGGGUUAAAUGGCUUGCCAAAGUUUACACAGUCAGACAGUAUCUGAGGUCAGAUUCAAACCCAGGACUUCCUCUCUCCAGGCCUGCCUGAGCCACCCAGCUGCUCCAGCCAAAUAUAAUCUUAUCAGACUUUGUUAGGCUUACUCUAUCCCUGACUAGAAAUGUAUCUUUUCCAUAUAUUAAACCAUGGUCCAGAAAUUAAAAUCUUAUUCUCAACUUCUAGAUUCUUCCCAAACAACUUUAAACUUCUACUUCCCUUACCUUCAAUAGGAAGCAGUGAUGGAAACACUACCUGUGGCCCUAUUGUCUUCAGCAUCUUGCCCAAGACUUUAUCAUCUUUGGCAUGCUUAAUGGAUUUCUUCUGGCAAACAUCAUUUAUGCUCAUUUGAGUUACCCAAAAUUCAUACUAGUCCCCCAUUUUAAGGUCUUGAGAGGUUCUCUAUUAUGUUUUGGACACAUGCCCAAGAAGACAAUAUAUCUCUUUAUUAUAGUUAUCAAUUUGAAAAAUCGAUGCUUCAGUUCCUUUCAGCAAGACAUCAUCAACUAUCUUUUCUUCCUCUGACCACUGCUAGAUGAUCUCCCAAAUGAAAGCCCCUUUGAUAUUAUCUCAUCAUUAUCUGGAAGAUGAAACCUUCUCAAAUCAUUCAGUUUCCCCCUAUACAGAAAGAAUUCCAACUAGUCAAUGGUCUUUUCUCCUCUUUGUGAUAUUCUACUUUCCAUCCUUCUGAAAUAAGUCCAGAUUCCUCUGUGACUCUGACUCUUCCUUUAUAUCAUUAUUAUUGUUGUUGUUUUCAGACUAAAGGAUUGAUGAAAUCGAUUAAUAAACAUUUUUAAAGCACCUAUUACGUUUCAGGAACUGUGUGAAGUGCUGGAAUCAUAAUAGUUGUGAUAAUUGCCUUCCCAUGCCUCUUUCACACUCAGAAAGAACAAUGCAGCAUUCCUUGGCAUGGAUGCUUUUUGGUUUUAUGUGCCUGGCAAUACCCAGAAGGGCGAUAGUAUUUGUGUUUUCACUAAAUUUAUUCUGGACAAAAAAGUAAGUUUUUUUAAAGGGAUAAAUAUUAAUAAGUAUUUGUGUUUUCACUAAAUUUAUUCUGGACAAAAAAAGGAAGUUUUAAAAAAGGGAUAAAUAUUAAUAAGUAUUUCAGAAGAAAUUUUGAAGAGAAGUCUGUGAAUUACAUGCUCUUUCAUUUGCUUCAUUCUUUCCUUUUUAUUUCUACUUGGUUUAAAUAAAUUGUUGGUAGAAAAUAAGAGUUUGCAACAAUGCACAAACUAAGAGGAACACAUUACUUUUAUAUUUCCUACAUUAUUAUAGGACCUCAUUUCUGUGUGCUAUUAUUAUUGUUUUUAUUGUUACUACUACUACUAUCAUCAUCAUCAUCAUCAUCACAGAUAGCAUUAGCCUUUGUUCUCUGUGACUCAGACUGUAGCUAGCUGAUGGCUUAGUCUUGCACAUGACUUCCUCAGGGAUACUUCUGGAAUAUAGAGAGAAUGCAUUUCCAGACACUCCACAGGAAAAAUUACUCAAGAAAACUCCACUCUUGUAGCCAAAUUAAUUCACUGAAGCAAUGCCUCAACUUUUUCCAAAGACAAUAAAGGUGGGUCCCAGGCCAGGUUCAUAUAAAGGCUAGAGUCCUUUCAUAUGCCAGUGACAAUCUAGCAGGACAGCAAGGUCUACUGGAUAAUGCAACCACAACAGUUCCAGUAGUGGCUGGUCAGAAGUAAAUAGUGAAUCUUUUGAGGUAACAAGGUUAGUUCUUAUAAGAGAUUAAAUGGACCAGGGUCAGAAACAGAAGGAGUGUUCAUAAUCCAGAGGUCCAAGUGGACAGUAGGCAAUGCGAAAACCCAAAGGGCCAUGUUGUGGCUGAAUGUUCUUGAAUUUUGCUUUAAAGACACUUCUCAAAUGCUGGGGAGAUAAAACAGGCCAUGAUGUUUCGUAUUUGUUACCAUAGUCAAUGGUGAAUUUUCCCUAUCCCAUGUUUAGAUCAAAAAAUGGUAUCAUUACCUUCUUCCCUAUUCCAUGGGUUUGUACAUUGCUUCAUGAAUAUCACAUUUUUUUUCUAGGUGUACAAGGUGGUCUCCGAGGCUUAUUUGAUUUAGUAUACCAGGACACAUGAUUGUUAUGAAAUUGGGAAAGGUAGUUAAGUGUAUCUGAGUCAAUUCAGAUUUUAAGUACUUCUACCAUAGUUUUGGAACUGAAUGCAUGUGCCAUGAAGCUAUAAUUUUACUUUAAAAAACCUCAAAGAGAAGACAAGGCAAGAAUGGUCUCAGAUUCAUCAGACUUUCAAGAAUCUGGGUGGUCUGAUGAGUCUAAACUUACACAAGAGGUAUAUUAUUCAAUUUCAUUUAUCUUGGUGAAUAUGGAGAUUAUCCUUUUAAGUCCUAGGUUUGAAACAAAUCCUGUCCAUGUUACUAUAUGGGCUGUGAUUAGUUUCUUGUCACUAAUAUGAUUUUUCUCAUGGAAAACAGCUGACUUUACAUGGUGGUAGAUACCUUGUCUAAAAAAACAACUUACAAUCAAUUGACCCAAAGGACAGUAACCUGCCUUGGGAGACAAUGGUUUUCUCAUCACUGGAAGUCUUUCAGCAGAGAUUGUAUGAUUGAUUGUUAGGAAUUUCAUAAGGGAGGAUUCCUGUCCAAGUUUAAGUUGAACAAGAUAAACUCUGAGAUCCCUUUCAACUCUGAGAUUCUGGAAUCUUGCAAUAUCAGAAAUAGAAUGUAUAUAAGAGAACAUUUACAAAACAGAACUCAGCAGCAUAUGAAUAAUGGCUGAUUAAGUGAGAGGUAUGAAUGAAUGAACAAGAAAACAUUUAAGCACUUCCUUUGUGGCAGACACUGUGUUAAGCUCUGGGAAAACAAAUAUAAAAGUGACACAGAUGCGGGAUGGCCAAUUCCACACCAGAGGGUCAACAACUGUGUGUCCACAGAGGUUGCCUGACCAAGAGUACUCAGUUCAAGACUGAGGCGAGCAUGCAAUGUAAGACUGAGGAAACCUCCAAACCAGGAAAUUCAUCAUAUCUCAAGAUGGUGUCAGCUUUGGUGCUCAUACCUGAAAUACUAUCUGUGUCUCUGAAUGGAGGUUGGAGAACAGAGCAAAAGAGAGCAGGACAAACUUUGCACAUUGAGAAAAGGUAGAUUCAAGAUUCUAUAAGUAAACAGAAAGCUUUAUUAUAUUCAUGGGGAAUUUCAUGAGAAUCCCAAGAAGAGGAGAAAAAGACUUCUAGGAAACGUGAGUUAUCUCUUUUACCACAUCACAUUAUUUAAACUUGAAUCUACUUUCCCUUGGAUUAGAGACAUACUUGGGGGGAAAUGUGCCCCUGGUUUGGGGGAUGGCUGUUUUUUUAUUGCUUUACUAUGACACCCUAAUACAUAGACUAUCUAUGAAAGUGAAUUAAGUCUGAAUGGCUAAUUGAUAUCAAAUGACAAUCACUAUGAGCAGCACACUAAUGGGGGGCUCAUGAGAUAGGAAAACUUUAGACCUUUAUGAUCCACUAGAAGGGGUCCUUUGGUGGACCAACCUAUUAGUGUGAGUGGAGGUUGGGAGAAGGAGCUCUGAGAAUGUGCUGUAUGAUCCUAUGAAACAGAAGGCAAAUUUAGGUCUGAUAUAAAGAAAAACAUCCUAACAGAGCUGUUCAAAAAUAGAAAGGGUUGACUCGGGAGAUCAUAGUUGGAUAGGAACAUGAACAGAGCUGAAAAGGACCCUACAGGUCAUCAAGUACAAUUUCACCUCACUAGAAGUCUUUAAUAAGAGACUGGAUGACUAGUUAUUUAUCUGAUAUAUUGUAAUGGAGAUUCAUUUUUGGCUAAGUUUAGACUAGAUGGCUGCUAACAUUCUUUCCAAUUCUACAAUUCUGUGAUACUCUGUCUCUCUACUUGUUUAAUAAUUAUUAUAAGAUGCCAUGUAUAUUUAAAAGAGCACUGAAUUUGGAAUCAGAGGAUAUGGAUUAUAGUUCUGCUAUUUACUAGCAGUGUGGUUUUAGAAAAUUAAUUUAGUCUUUCUGAACUUCAUAUUUUGCAUUUGUAAAAUGGGGGAUAAACGUCUUUGCAAUAUUGGCUUCACAAGGUUGUUAUGAGAAAACACUACAGAAACAUGAGCUAUCAUUCUCUUCAUCACCAACACUACCACCUUCAUCAAAUGGGUUAAGAACUCAGUAGAAAGCUAGUUGUAAUUCAAUUCACCUGAUAGGAUAAAAUUGGACUGUAUCUAAAUGAAUCACAUAUGAUCAAAGGAUUUGAAUAGUCUGAUCCUGUUUCUUUUGUGCCAGUUCUCCCACUUAGAAUGACUAUAAAUAAGGGCAUGCUUUCUAUUUCCUUGGAUCUUGUACAUAAUACAAUGCAAUCAAUUUAGUAGGUAUUUAAUGAAGGCUUGUUGAAGGAAUUAAUGGAUGGAUGGAUGAAAGAAUGAAUGAAACAUUUACUACAGCUUAUUAAGAUGGUCCCACAGCUGCCAUAGUAGGAUUUCCAAAUGCCUUCCAUGUGUAGACACAUUGCAAUGAAUCAGACCAACUGAAUUAUUUAAAGGCAUCUAAUUUUGCUCAGAUCAUAUAAAUGUGUCUGGACUGGUUAUUUCAUUUGGUUAGAAUCCUAUGUUAAUGUGGCUGAAGUUGUGGACUUGAUCCCCCUACUACCAACUUAGUGUCAGAGAAAAAUUGUUCUACAGGGUUUGUGGAUUCUCAUCCUAUCUCAGUAUAUCUCUGCUCUGGACCAGUUCUAAAAUAAUUCAAGCAGUCACAGAAAGAAUGGAUGACUUUAUAUAUACCUACUAUUGCUGUUACAAAAACAACUCAAGUCUUAUUGGCAUUGGAUUAGUAGUGUAUUUAUAUUUGAAGGACUGUAACAUCAUUUAUAGAUUUAAUACAUGAGAGGAAAAAAACCCCUAGUACAUAAACACUGUUUUUGAAUGACACCAGAGACAUUCAUUUCAUAUGCAUAACUUUUUGCCCAAGUGUUUUGGUGUUAUAACUAGCACUUCUGAAGAGCAGGCAUAGAGGACUGAAAGGUAUAAACAGAACCACAUGGUGAAACACUUGCUCUUUGCUCACAGUUUUCAGCCAGAGUUAGGAAUCUCCUUGGAGGAACAUGAGUUCUUCAUAGCAAGAUGGCUGCUGUACUUGGCAUUCAUUGCUUCUCUCCUUGGAGCUGACUAUAAAGGCUACCAAAAGUGCUAAUUCUUGUUGAUGUUCUGUUGAUUAUAGUGCAGUAGAAAGAACCCUGGGUUUAGAGUCAGAAGAACUGUUUUAACUUUUAGUCUAAUUAUUUAUUACCUGUGUGAUACUAGACAAGUUAAUCUCUGUGCUUCAGUUUUCUUUGCUUUAAAAUGAAGGAUAUGGAUAAAAUGGAUGGUCGUUCGGGUUUUAUUUUAUGGUCAGAUGAUCUCUCCUUCUCAGGAAUUAUUUACAGAAUGGCUCUUAUGUGUUUGGUAGUUGUGAAAGUCAAACAGAGUGUGGCCUGAGGGAAUCUCAACUAAUCACAGCCAUAUGGAAGGUUUUUUUUUCCUGCCUAUAUAUUUGUGUGGAUUUCAUGUGUUUCCCUGAGACUUCCUUUCAGCAAGUUAGAGUCCUAGAGCAGUUUAUCUUGUUUGUACCUAGAAAGACACAAUUCUUCCUGAUGUGUGUCCAUUGAUUUGUAUUCAUCUCUGGGCAAGGCAAAGAACCUAGGGUCAUAGUGGAGCUAGCCAGGAACCCACAGUUAUGAGGUAGUGAUGAAAUUGAUAUUAUGUUAUAUUAUAUUAUUAUGUUUCUGACAUUCUCCUGCCUACUAGUGAUAUUUAAAUAAGGAGAAGUGAACAUUGGUGCGGUGGCAUAUUUUAUUAUAUGAAUCAUGAAUCUUGAUGUGGAAUAGUUGAGAACACCUUUUUCUUAAUACGGUGGAAGAUAUGAUUGCCAAACUACUGUGAGUAAACUUUGAAAGAUUGCAGGGAAUAGAAAAAGAGCUGUGAAUAGCUGUUGCAUUUCUAGCCUAGGCAAAAAUAGGAAGACCUACUCUUUAAAAAAAAGAAAAUAAUAAAAAAGGAGAAAAAGAAAACUGUAGUUUAUCACUAAUAUUUAAUGUGCAAGAUGAAGCAUAAAAAUCCUAAAAAGUUCUAAUAAAAUUAACAGAAAAAUUAACAAUUAACAAAAAAUUUACAAUAAAAUUAAAUCAAUAUCUAUAAAAGAAUUUAAUAACUCCCUUAUAAAACUGGGAAUAGUAGAAGACUGAAAAAUAUGUUUCCUGAUGACUGGCCAAUGACACUGGCCAAAAACCAAACAGAAAUUUUGUACCUAUAUGAUAUGAAUCCUUUCUUUGAGAAGAGAGUUUGGAGAUGCUAGAAAAGCAUAAAAAAUAACAGAAAAGGAAUCUGAUAGUAUCAAAUUCAGAUGGUAUCAGAUAUCAGUGAUCUUUUUUAAUCCAAUUUGUCACUGAUGAGUUUUCUAAAUUUUUUGGACUUCUAGCAUCAUCUUCUAAGAUUUUAAAUAACUGACCUAGAAUUCUGUCAUCUCCACUAACCUUAGUGUUGCAAUGCUUCCGAAGGCCCACUUGACUUCAUUCUCCAGGAUGUGGUUAUCAGUGAUGUCAAGAUCUUUCUUAUAUAGUUCUUCUGCAUAUUCUUAAUUUUUUUCUGUUUCUGUUAAGUUUCAUUUUCCAAUAUAGAAAUGCAAAUAGUUUGAUUUUACUGAGUCCCUUAUGGUUAUUCUUUCAUGUUUAAUAUUUCAUGCUUCUCUUGAGUCUUCUGUUUGAAUGCCAAAUUUUCUAUUUAGGUCUGGCCUUUUUUUAGGAAUGCUUGGAAAUCUUUUAUUUCAUUAAAUAUUCAUUUUUUCCCCCUGAAGGAUUCAUACUCAGUUUUGCUGGGCAGAUUAUUUUUAAUUGUAAUCUUAGCUUCUUUGUUUUCCUGAAUAUCAUAUUCUAAGAUCUUUACUCUUUUAAUGUGGAAACUAUUAAAUCUUGUGUAAUACUGACUGUGGCUCCAUGAUAUUUGAUUUGUUUCUUUCUGACUGCUUACAAUAUUUUCUCCUUGAUCUAGGAGUUCUGGAAUUUGAUCAUAAUAUGACUGUGAGUUUUCAUUUUGGGAUCUCUUUCAAGAGGUGAUUGGUAAGAAGUAAAGUUAUGAUGGCGGUAUAGAAGGAGCAGAAGUUUAGACCUCUGAAAACUCUUCCUUACCGAUCACAAACUGAAUGCUCCUAGGGGACUGAAAAUCAAACCUAACAAUAAGACAGAGCCAAGGAACCCUCCUGCUGGACUCAACUCAAAAGCCUCCAGAGGACAGGGAAGCUCAACCUCCAACAACCCUCCCCCACAGACUGCACCAAGAGAUCUUCUAUCAAAGCUCCAAGAGGGGAGACUAACAGAAGCCCCCAAAACCAAAAAAAUGAGAGGAGCAAAGAAGAGGUAAAUAUGAGCAAACAACAGAAAAAGAAGAAAGAAAUUACAAUAGAGGUCUUCUAUUCAGCAAAAGGAACAGAGGGGGAGGGAUAAGCAAACGAUAAAUCAGAAAUGUAAUGGUGAAAAUUUCACCUUUUUUAAGAUUGAUGUAAUAUUGAACAAUGGCUGCCAAGGAAUUUACUUAUGAAAUUCCUAAAAUGAAACACUCAAGUCAGAAUGGAGUUUAUGGAGGUUUAAUCACAAUGGGAGUAGGGAAAAGGAGAGGGAGAGAAGGAGAGAAGAGAAAAGGGAAAGGGGCUACUCAACCUCUGACCAAGGCAGAGGGAGUUUUAGGCCCAAAGGGCCAAGGUGGAAAGAAUCAGUCCUUAACUCACGUGAGUGACCUGAAGGAAAGCUGUUUGUGGGUGUCCUCCCUGUCCAAGCUCCUAACACCAACUGGCGUCUAGCUCUCUCCACAGGAAGUGAGCGAAUUCCGGAGGCUGUUCCCUACCUCACUUCCUGUGUCUCACAAGUGUCAAUGGUUGGCUCUAGCUUGGCUUAGGAUAGCCCAGGUGGGCAGUUAGUUAUUUCUGAUUUGUCAUUGACUAGCACAUGCCCGUGUAGUGUGGGUGUGCACAAUUUUUGGGUGCUAUACCAAGAUGGAGACUUUUAAAAUUCACAAUCCCCCCUGAUGAUGAUUGGGGGACUAGUCUCCCCAAUUGAUCACUAAACAUAAGCAUACUGCACCCCAAAAAUUUCUAACUGUAAGUGUAUACAAAAUUAUUUUUACCCACGAAGAGGAAAAUUAUAAUAGUUGUAAAUAUGGGGAAAUAGAGGAGAGAGAAAGACAGCAAACCAAUGUUUUGCUGGGCUCAUUGACAAAAGCCAAUUAGGGGGCAGUCCCCUUUGGCAUAAGAGUGUACAUUCAAAAAAUGUUCAAUCAACCACACCCCAAGGUUCAUUCUGGAUCUUCCUGUAGUGAAAAGGUUUAGAUAUCUUUCUGAAAACAGUUCAUUCUCUGGAUUCAGUUAGUUAGCAAGCUUCUUCUCUGAAGAUUUAUCUCGAACAAAAUUUAAAUCUUGGAUUUGAUGAAAUACAAUCCCCCCUGAAGAAAGUGUUGAAAAAAACACUGAGGCCAGCUGAGGAUUCAAGUUUUAGUUGUGGGGGUGUGUGAGUUAAUCCAAAAGAAAAACAAAACAAAAUGAAAAUAAAAUAAAAAACAAAAUCAAAAGAAGAAAAAGGGAAAAAAUUAAGGGAAAAAUAUAGACCCUUUAUAUAUGCAUGUUUAUAUUAAAGAAGAAUUCAAAAUCAGUAUCAAAAAAUCAAAAAAUCUAUGUAUAUAAAAUUUGAGAAAGCAAGAAUAAAAAAAUUUUUUCCACAGGCCCCUGUAUUAGGGUCCAGUUAAGUAAUUUCUAAUCCCACAAGUCUGUAGGACAGAAUGCAGCAUAUUUUACUUCCCCAUUUGCAGCCAAGGCUACAGGAAGUUGCCAUACUAUAGGAGAGAAAAAAGGACCAGAUUUUUAUUUUAUAUCUAGGGAAGUGUCAUUCCCUCGUCUGAUUUUACCUUCGUUCUCAGGGAUGGAGGGAGCCAGGAUGGUAGCCAACCUUAGGUACUUGUCUGUAGGUACUUUCAUGAAGAGUGUGGAUACAGGGAAGGCCUACAUCUUAACGUCUGUCACUGAUGUAUUGUGUGUCUCAGGUUUUUUAUUCUUGCUUUUCAUUUUGUUUUGUUUUUCUUUUGGAUUAACUCACACACCCCCACAACUAAAACUUGAAAUGCGUUAAUCCUACCUGGAUUGGUCUUUGAUUUUUAGACCUGUGAGCUCUUUUGGCAUUAUCCAGGUUAUCUCUGUGCUCCUUUUUUGAUCCCGCGCCUAAAAUCAGACACAAACAUUAAUCAUAGUCCCACAACAAUUAUCAAUAAACGGCAGGUUCCCAUAGUCUAAAGCUGUUUAGGUGCGUAUUAAUAAUAACAGCAAGUAUAUAUAUUUAAACUAAUAUUGUAGAAUAAAAUUAAUAUUGAUCAUAUGUACCUUAAGUACAUAGAAAUGAGAAAAAGGGAUAAAAUAAUGUCAAAAAAUAAUAAAAUAAGGAAAAGAGAAAAAAGGAAAAAAGAAAAAAAUUAAAUUUAGGAAUUCAAUGUGUCAAAAGCAGAAUAAAACAGUUCCACUUGUCAAUGGGUAGUUAUCUCCAAUGCAUGUAUAGGAUACAGUCAAUCAGUUUCAACAGAGGAUGCUCUCUUUACAUGUGAGCAGUGAAUCCAAGAGUCCUUUUCUCCAACCUUUAUAGAUGUUGGAGAAGUUAACAAUAUUUGGAAUGGUCCUUCCCAGGAAGGCUGGGUUGCUCCUGUAUGCUGGAAGUUCUUUAUAUACACGUUGUCUCCUGGGUUCAGGUCGUGAAGUGAGAAGUCUAAUGGUCCGGCUUGUACUGCAGCCCCGGAUUCAUGUAGCUCACGCAGUUUGUGCUGUAACUCCUGUAUAUAGGAAGCAAUAGUAAUAUCUCCCCCUAAUAGCGAUGUAUAAGCCGGGGAGAAAGGCUUAGCCUGUAUAGGCAGAUGUCCAAAAAGCAUCUCAAAUGGUGAAAUAUGUAAGUCUCCUCUAGGCCUGCUUCUAAGAUAAAAUAGGGCCAAAGGGAGAAUUUCAGGCCAUUUUAAAUGGGUCUCAGUGCAUAAUUUGCCAAUCAUAGUUUUAAGUUCUUUGUUCAUCCUCUCAGCUUGGCCUGAACUCUGGGGAUGAUAUGGAACAUGGAAUUUGGGAGUUAUCCCCAAGCAAGAAUAUGUCUGGUUUAGAACAGAAUCAGUAAAAUGAUUCCCCCUAUCAGAAUCAAUACGUGCUGGCAGGCCAAAGCGAGGAAUAAUUUCUUUUAAAAGCACCUUAGCAACAAAAGCUGCUGUGGCUCGGGCUGUAGGAAAUGCUUCCAGCCAUCUGGUCAGUUGGUCUACUAUGACCAAACAAAAUUUAUAUUGUCCAGCCUUUGGCAUUGUUAUGAAAUCUAUCUGCAGGUGCUCAAAAGGUGUGUAAGCCAGAGGACGCCCACCAAAGGCUUUACCACGAAAGGCAUGUUGGUUAUAUGCCUGGCAGGUAGAGCAGGCUGAACACACUUUAGAGGCUAUGGUAGUUAUACCAGGGGCUAUCCAUACUCUCUUAACAGAGUCCACGAUGCCCUGGGUACCAAAGUGGCUGUUAUUAUGAACAGAUUGGCAAAUUUGGUGAUAGAAACUUCUAGGGAGCAGGGAUUUUUCUUCAGAUGACACCCAGACUCCAUUGAUCUGUUUUGCUUUGAAUUUCUGCUUCCAUUUUUCCACUUCCUUCUCAUUAUAGGAAAGUGAUAAAUUUGAGUCAUCAGUAGUUGUUAAUGUUAGAAGUAAUUCAGGCCCUUCUAUGGCUGCUAGCUUUGCAGCAGCAUCUGCUCAGUCAUUUCCCCUAGAGACAGGGUCAGUGCCACCUGUAUGGGCUGAGCAAUGAACUACAGCUAGGGCUUCAGGCAGCUGAAGAGCAGAAAGAACUUCAUUAAUAAUUUCUGCAUUAGCUAUGGAUUUUCCAGCUGAGGUUAAAAAUCCUCUCUGAAGCCAUAGCAUCCCGACUGAGUGACAAAUGCCAAAAGCAUAUCUAGAAUCCGUAUAAAUUGUUGCCUUUUUAUCCUUGGCAAUUAUACAGGCAUGUUUCAGAGCUAUGAGCUCUGCCCCUUGAGCGCUAAUGUUAGAGGGCAAUGAAGCUGACCAUUCAGUGGCAAAUUCUGUGACUACAGCAGCUCCACUGUAGCAUAUGCCAUCCCUCAUGAAAGAAGAACCAUCAGUAAAUAAGAUCAGGUCUGAGUUCUUUAAGGGAGUGUCCAAGAGAUCAUCUCGAGGCUUUUCUGCCAUGGACACUAGUGCUUCACAACUGUGUAAUGGUUCUCCUGAAGUUGGUAAGUCUGGAAGCAAGGUGGCAGGAUUAAGGGUUGUACAGCAUUUCAGAGUAAUAUUUUCACUAUUUAGCAAGGUUAUUUCAUACCUUGUAAUUCGCUGAUCAGAAAAUGCCUGUGUUCUUUGUCUUAGCAAUAAUGCUUCUACCUCGUGUGGACACAUAAUUGUUAGUGGGCAUCCUAAUACUAGAUCAAUGGUUUUUGUCACUAGUAAAGCAGUAGCAGCCACUCCUCUAAGGCAUGGUGAUGCUCCUGAAGCUAUUGGGUCCAGCUGGGCUGAAUAAUAAGCAACUGGACGCUGAGAAGGCCCCAGAGUCUGAGUUAAAACGCCUGAGGCUACUCCUCUUCGCUCAUGUACAUACAAAGUAAAUGGCUUGUUAUAAUUUGGGAUGCCUAGAGCAGGGGCAGAUAGGAUAGCCUUUUUUAGCUCUGAUAGAGCUGACAGGUGUUCAGGCUCUAAUUUGAGGGGUUCAGGGACUGCAUCCCUUGUUAGUGCUAUAAGAGGUUUAGUAAUUUCCCCAUAGCAAGGAAUCCAUUGUCUGCAAAACCCUGUUGCUCCCAGAACUGCUCUUAACUGUUUUUUAGUGGUAGGAGCACUCAAUUUUUGAAUAUUCUCAAUUCACUUGGGAGAAAUAGAGCGGGCACCAGCUGUCAGAAUGAACCCCAAAUAUUCUACUUUGGGGAGACACCACUGAACUUUAUCCUUCGAGAUCUUAUGACCUCUUUUGUGCAAUUCCAAAAGAAGGUGUUUACUAUCUUCCUGACAUGCUUCUGCAUCCAUGGAAGCCAAGAGUAGGUCAUCUACAUAUUUUAUUAAUUUGCUGUUUUUAAAUUUUAUAUUAUCUGUAUCUUGUCCCAAAAUUUGUGCAAAUAAGGUCGGACUUUUUAUAUAACCCUGGGUCAGACGACUCCAGGAAUAUUGUAUGCCAUUCCAGGUGAAAGCAAAAAUAUGCCUCGAGUUCUCAUGUAUGGGUAUAGAAAAGAAGGCUGAGCACAAGUCUACUACUGUAAAGUAUGUAGCUGUGCUAGGAAUAGAAGAAAUAAUAGUAUUGAUAUUGGGAACUAUGGAGUGUCUCUUUAUAACGUGAUUGUUCACAGCCCUCAAAUCCUGUACGAAUCUAUAGAGGUGUUUGCCAUUGGGCCCCCUUUUUGUUUUUUUAACGGGGAGGAUGGGCGUGUUGUAUUCAGAUUUACAAGGGAAAAUUAUUCCUUGGUCAAUUAAGGAGUUUAUUAUUGGGGUAAUGCCCUCCAUUGCCUCCUUGGAGAGAGGAUAUUGAGGGAUGCAAGGAGGUGGGCUGGAUUUAGUUUUUAUUUGCACGGGAGCAGCUGAUUUAAGUAAGCCUACAUCAGUAGAAGAUGUGGCCCAAAGAGACUCUGGUAUAUCUGUAGGUAUUUCAAAGGUGGGAGGCUCCUUUGCCUCCUGGCUCUCUGAGAGAAAUAUAGGGAGUAAAUUUAAGGUUUCCUCGGGCACUUCUAAAGAGAGGGAGCCAUCUGGGGCGCACAUUAUUGUGGCUUGUAAUUUGCAUAGUAAAUCUCUCCCCAGCAAAUUUGUGGGGGAUCCAGGCAUUAAAAGAAAAGAAUGUUCAACAGUUAGGGGUCCCACACGUACCAUGCGAGGAGAAAGUUUUGGGACCUUUAAAGGUUUUCCUGAAACACCUACUACAUUUAAGGAGCCAAUAGAAUCACAUUUCUCAUCUGGUUUGCUUACUAGAACUGACCUAGAUGCUCCAGUGUCUAGAAGACAGUCAUAGUAUGAAUUUCCUACCUUUAAAGUGACAUGAGGUUCCUUACUGUUUGGGGGGGAAUAUAUAGGGGUUAUUGGCAUUAAAAUAUCAGGGUCUGGAAAAUCAAAGGUUUCAUUCUUUGAUUCCAAGGCCCUCACCCCCUCUUCACACCUUCAUAAAGAUGCUUGGGCAGUUUUUUGGGACCCUCCACGCUGUUGGAGGUGUACCUGAGUGUAGCGUGGUCGAGCUCCAUUUCUUAUAUAUUGUUGUUGGGCAUUUUUUGGGGUAGUAUCAUUUUCUGUAUUUUGAGCACUGUCAUUUUGAUUGGCAUUGUGAUUCCUAUAGUUAUUAUUCCUAAAGGUGUUAUUAUUUCUUGUUUCCUGUAGCCUGCUCCUACAGACUAUGAUUGCAUGGCCUCUCUUCCCACAGAAGAGGCAUAUUAAGGGGUUUGUUAAUGAUCUAUCUGUGGAUUCCUGCAAAGGGGCCAUGGUCUCUCCCUUACUUUUCAAUUGUUCCUUUAAAAUUUCAAUUUCUUUUUUUAAGUCUGUCACUGAUGUAUUGUGUGUCUCAGGUUUUUUUGUACGAUUCUUAUAGGCAUAUGCUGCUACUUUCCUCAGUUCGUCGAGGUCCAUAGACUCCCAGUUGGGAUAGCUAGUUUCAAAGUAGUCUUUUACUGCUGAACAACAAUUCCUAAUGAAUUGUCUGCAUAUAUGUUUAAUGUCUUUUUCUCUGGACAAAUCAAGGUCCAUAUAUGUACUUCCUACAUCAAUAAGUCUGUCCAUAAAGUGGGAGGGGGUCUCAUCAAUUUCCUGUCGGGAUUGUUCAAAUUUUUCCCAUGCAUCAGGGCUAUCAGAGCAGUCUCUCAUGGCUUUUAAUAAUGCUUCUCUGGCCAGGGCUAGUUUUGUGUGAUCUUGUGCAAUAUUGGGGUUCCAGUGUGGAUCUACAGUUGGCCAGUGAUGAGCUCCUCUACCACUUUUCUUAUUAGCUAGAGAGAUGACAUUAUUUUUCUCUCUCUUUGUCAGAAAUGAAUCUAACAAAUUCUCCACAUCCAACCAAGAAGGGUCAAAGUUUCUGAAUAUAUUUUCUAAUUUUUCUAUAACCAACAUUGGUUCUGCCUCAAAUGAUUGAACAUUGUGCUUGAAUUUUUCUAAAUCAUCAGGUUUAAAAGGUGUAUAGUGUCUUACAGACACCAAGUUCCCUUCUUUAUUAAAGGUGGGUACUUCCCUCAAUGGAAAUAAACUUCUGUCUAAAUUAUCUGGUGUUACUGUUUCUAGGCUACUUGCUCCAUUUUCAAUGGGGUAGGUAAGAGAAGGGGAAAGGUUAGGAUUAUUGGCUGUUGGAGCAUGGGGGUUGGAGAU